rnacentral:rRNA from 1 species
CGGAGGUCCCGAGCGUUGUUCGGACUCACUGGGCGUAAAGGGUGCGUAGGUGUGGGGUAAGUCGGAUGUGAAAUCUCCGGGCUCAACCCGGAAACUGCAUUGGAAACUACCUUGCUAGAGGUUUUGAGGGGGGACUGGAAUUCUCGGUGUAGCAGUGAAAUGCGUAGAUAUCGAGAGGAACACCAGUGGCGAAGGCGAGUCCCUGGAAAACACCUGACACUGAGGCACGAAAGCUAGGGGAGCAAACAGGAUUAGAUACCCUGGUAGUCCUAGCCCUAAACGGUGCUUGCUUGCUGUAAGUGGAAUCGACCCCACUUGUGGCGGAGCUAACGCGUUAAGCAAGCCGCCUGGGAAGUACGGUCGCAAGAUUA